rnacentral:rRNA from 1 species
GAUGAACGCUGGCGGCGUGCCUAAUACAUGCAAGUCGAGCGAACGGACGAGAAGCUUGCUUUUCUGAUGUUAGCGGCGGACGGGUGAGUAACACGUGGAUAACCUACCUAUAAGACUGGGAUAACUUCGGGAAACCGGAGCUAAUACCGGAUAAUAUUUUGAACCGCAUGGUUCAAAAGUGAAAGACGGUCUUGCUGUCACUUAUAGAUGGAUCCGCGCUGCAUUAGCUAGUUGGUAAGGUAACGGCUUACCAAGGCAACGAUGCAUAGCCGACCUGAGAGGGUGAUCGGCCACACUGGAACUGAGACACGGUCCAGACUCCUACGGGAGGCAGCAGUAGGGAAUCUUCCGCAAUGGGCGCAAGCCUGACGGAGCAACGCCGCGUGAGUGAUGAAGGUCUUCGGAUCGUAAAACUCUGUUAUUAGGGAAGAACAUAUGUGUAAGUAACUGUGCACAUCUUGACGGUACCUAAUCAGAAAGCCACGGCUAACUACGUG